rnacentral:rRNA from 1 species
AACGAACGCUGGCGGCAGGCUUAACACAUGCAAGUCGAACGCCCCGCAAGGGGAGUGGCAGACGGGUGAGUAACGCGUGGGAACAUACCCUUUUCUACGGAAUAGCUCUGGGAAACUGGAAUUAAUACCGUAUACGCCCUACGGGGGAAAGAUUUAUCGGGGAAGGAUUGGCCCGCGUUGGAUUAGCGAGUUGGUGGGGUAAAGGCCUACCAAGGCGACGAUCCAUAGCUGGUCUGAGAGGAUGAUCAGCCACAUUGGGACUGAGACACGGCCCAAACUCCUACGGGAGGCAGCAGUGGGGAAUAUUGGACAAUGGGCGCAAGCCUGAUCCAGCCAUGCCGCGUGAGUGAUGAAGACCUUAGGGUUGUAAAGCUCUUUCACCGAUGAAGAUAAUGACGGUAGUCGGAGAAGAAGCCCCGGCUAACUUCGUG